rnacentral:lncRNA from 1 species
AUCAAAAGAUCCAGAUUUGAGAUUGAGUACUUAUCAGGUGUCCAACCAAGUGCCCAUAACCAUAAGCGAGAUCUCAUCAGUUGGAUCAUCGAAGAUACAUAAGCAUCAGGAAUGACAACUGAAAAUGGCAGCAGAAUAUGCUAUACACACUUGUGAAAAGAUUUAAUCUCAGUUGACAAUUUCCGUAUACCAGCAGUUUGACAAAGAUAAGUAAUCACUCUGAUUAGGGAAGAAAAUUGGAUUGGAAAUCUCAAUACUCAUAGAAGCCUAAACUACAGAGACCAACGGAGACCUCAAUGAUCGGCAAGGAAAACAAGGCGGGGCUCCAUGCAAGGAGGAAUUCACUUCUCUAGGGCCAAUGACUGCAAGCAAAAACUAGGGGUAACAGUAAGUGAAAAGCUGCUGAAACCCAUACCACUAGGAAAUAAGAGAAGCCAGACACAAGAUUGAAAUUCCCCCUUUCUCGAAGCCUGACAAUAUCAGGAAUGCAAUGCAAGCACCAAAAAGACCAAGAAACCGUACCACCAACCUUUGAAAUUUCAAAAUCCAGCCCUUAAUUCCUGUCACUGUGUGGUCUACACAUCUAUCCAACAAACAAAAACAAGUUGGCAUGAUAACCAAAAGAAAACAGAAGCUGAGAAGAUGAGUAGGGAGACCACCAAAAGUGGAAGAGCACUUUAUUAGGCUAUCUAAAGAUGCAGAAUUGAGUACUUAUCAGGUGUCAAUAAUGAUAAGAGAUCUCAUCAGCUGGAUCAUCGAAGAACAUAAGCAUCUGGAUUGAAAACUAAAAACGGCAGCAGAAUACACUAUACAUGCUUGCGGAAAGAAUAAUCUUAAUUGAGAGCUUCCAUAUAACAGCAGUUUUUGACAAAGCUUAGAGACACGAAAAUCUCCAAUACCUCUUAAGCCUAAGACCUGAGAACUUGCUCUGCACCUUCCCGAGCACAAACACCAAAGCAAUACACCUUCAGAAUCACUUGCCCCCUUAGAUCAAUCUUAAUACUCAUCCAUUGAAAACUACACCACCUGGGAUGAAAUCCACCAGAUGACCAAACCAAAAUAUGCAUUGAAGAAGUCAAGGUAAAAGAAGUUGAUGCGAGAAUAAGACAAUAUUAGCAUCAAUAUUAGCUGCAAGACAUCAAAUCCAAACUGAUAGCUCCAUGCUGAAGUUGUGCCCUGCUUGUCUUGUGACGCAUAGGGCUAGAACAGAUGACGGGCUCAUUCAUCUGAAGAUCCAAGUCAGCGGGGAGCAAAAUU